AUGGCUCAGGAGCUGAUCGAGCAACUUGAGGCCAAAGUGAGUGCUAACAGCGCGAGAUCUCACCCUCUCAUCGAUUUGUUCAUACCAACCAUCGACAUCGAGCACGGCAUAUGCUACACCCAUCCUGAGAAACUUCCAGGUAUCACACUGAGUGGCCUAAGCAAGCAUUUCUUCUGGCACAAUUCCAGGGUGUUCAAAAGGGGCACGUGGACGCGUUGCAAGAUAAAGUUGGAGUGUGACAUGCACGCGAUGUGGCACAAGACCGGCAAUACCUUGCCGGUGAUGGUCAACGGCCGGCAAACGGGCAGCAAAAAGGUUCUAGUGAUGCACACCAACAAGAACUUCGACCAGCAGAGGACCAACUGGGUGAUGCACCAGUACCACCUCGGGGACCUGGAGCAAGAGAAGGAGCGGGAGAUGGUCCUCUGCAAGAUUUUCUACCAGACGAACACUAGGACCAGGAGUAAAAAGAUUAUAAGUCGAGCAAGUUUCAACUGGGUUGUAGACUGCCCAGGCUUGGUUUUGUUUUUAACAAGCCCAGCCCAUGACGACAACGGGGCGCAAAGAUCUAGCAGGUAUCUACUGGCCUCUGGCCCGCCAGUGUUGGUUAUAUUUUGUCUUACAACAUCCGUGCAGGCAGUUUUUUACUAA
rnacentral:rRNA from 1 species